UAAGGUGGUUAUAGCACGAGGGAUCCACCUCUUCCCAUUCCGAACAGAGAAGUUAAGCCUCGUCACGCCGAUGGUACUGCGUAACAGUGGGAGAGUAGGUAGCCGCCGUUU
rnacentral:rRNA from 1 species